rnacentral:rRNA from 1 species
AUGAGAAAAGAAUUUGGGGGGAUUGGUAUUACUGACAUUGGGGAUAUGAACUUGUGCCUGCUGGCCUCUUGGGUGAGUAGAUACUAUAAGUCUGAGGGUAAAAUUUGGGAGAACAUUAUUGAUUCCAAGUAUGGCCUCCAAAAUAAUAACAUUUUUGCUUGCUCUGCUGCUGGGGCUUCACCUUUCUGGAAAGGAGUGCUCUGGGCAGCUCAAGCUGCUAAACCUGGUUUCUCCUGGAACAUAGGUAAUGGCAAGAGAGCUAGAUUCUUGGAGAAUCAUUGGUUUGGUAAUGCUGCCUUGGCUACUCAAUAUUGGGAUUUGUAUAAUUUAGCUAACGAGCAUAAUAUAACUGUUGAUAAUGCUUGGGAUGGUAGCAAUCUAAAAAUUACUUUUAGAAGAUGCUUUGACCAGGAGUUUAUGUCUUUGUUUGAGCUCCUGGAGAUUGCUAAAUCUAUCCUGUACACUGAUGUGGGUGACUCCCUAGUUUGGAAUAUGAAUUCCAAAGGAGUUUAUACAGUUAAAUCCUUUUACAAAUUUGUUAACUUCAGGGGAGUGUUGCCAGUUAGUACCCCUGCUGUUUGGGCUGUUGAGAUCCCACCUAGGAUUCAAAUAUUUGUGUGGCUCCUAGCUAAUAAUAAGCUUCUCACUAGAGAUAACCUGGGCAAAAGACAGGAUAUACCUGAUGCAACCUGUGUAUUCUGCUCAAAGUUGGAGUCUUGCCAUCACUUAUUUUUUGGGUGUGCCAUUGCUGUGGAAUUCUGGAAAGUUGUAUCUAGACUAGUUGGAUAUGAAGGGGACAUCAAUACGAUGUCUUUCUCUUCCUGUUGGUCUAGAGGAGACAGAUUCGCUGCAAUUAAUAUCAUUCAUGCAGUGGGUUUGUGGGCUAUCUGGAAAACCCGAAAUGACAUGGUUUUCAAUUAUGUUGCUUGGCCUGGAAUGUAG